ACAUACCUCCCUGUAGCCUGGUACUGGAAACUGCUGAGCCAUGCAGGGUAGCCUGGUGGUGGCUAGGACACUUCUGCAGAGGACCUGGAGUUGGGCUGCUCCCAGGGCUCCCAUCUCUUGCUGGGUCUGUUUUCAGGUGCACCCUCCUCCUCCAGGAGGUAGGGGCAAGACCAGCUUCAGCCCUUCUUGCUCUCCAUGGUCUGUGUAUGGACAGGGUGUGGGCCCGGGGAGACAGUUGUGUGGUGUGUGCAUUGUGUGUGUGUGGGGGGGGGUUGUCUGUGUGUCUGUGAAUAUUUGUGUGAUAUGUGUGUAGUAUGCUCAUGUGUCAUGACUCUGUGAGGGUGUGAUGGAAGAGUGUGUGUAAGAGAGAAGUUUGAGUGUGUGUGGUGUGUGCAUCUGGUGUCUAUGGGUGAUGUGUGUGUACAUAGUGUCUGUGUGUGUGAUGUCGGUGUGUUGUGUGGGUUUGUGUGUGUACAUAGUGUCUGUGUGUGUGAUGUCAGCGUGUUGUGUGAGGAUUUAUGUGUGUGUGUGGUGUCUGUGUUUGUGAUGGUGUGUUGUGCGUGGGUCUAUGUUUGUGUGUGAUGUUGGUGUGUGUGAUAUCAGUGUGUUGUGUGUGGGUUUAUGUGUGUGUGUGUGAUGUCUGUGUCUGAUGGUGUGUUUUGUGUGGGAUUGUGUGUGUGUGUGGUGUCUGUGUGUGUGAUGUCAGUGUGUUGUAUGUGGGUUUAUGUUCGUGUGUGAUGUCGGUGUGUGUGAUAUCAGUGUGUUGUGUGUGGGUUAUGUGUAUGUGUGAUGUUGGUGUGUUGUGUGUGCAUUUAUGUGAGUGUGGUGUCUGUGUGUGUGAUGUCAGUGUGUUGUGUGUGGGUGUAUAUUUGUGCAUCAUGUCAGUGUGUGUGAUGUCAGUGUGUUAUGUGUGGGUUUAUGUGUGUGUCUGAUUUUGGUGUGUUGUGUGUGGGUUUAUGUGUGUGUGGUGACUGUGUGUGUGAUGUCAGUGUGUUGUGUGGGUUUAUGUGUGUGGUGUCUGUGUGUAUGAUGUCAGUGUGUUGUGUGGGUUUAUGUGUAUGUGAUGUUGGUGUGUGUAAUGUCAGUGUGUUGUGUGUGGGUUUAUAUGUGUUUGUGUGAUAUUGGUGUGUUGUGUGUGGGUUUAUGAGUGUGCAUGGUGUCUGUGUGAUGUUGGUGUGUUGUGUGGGUUUGUGUGUGUGGAUGUGGUUUCUGCCUAUGGGAGGAGGUUUGCUCACAGAUGGAGGAGAAGGAGCUCUAUAGGCAAAGAUCCCAGGGCCGUGGAGGAGGGGACACAGUCCUGAGAACUCCUUCCUCUGAAUCAGAAGGACAAGAAAGGUGGGAUUUUAAAGGAACAGAGAACCCUGGUGGGAGAGGUGAAUCUGAGCUCCUCGGGCCAUCCGUUGUCCUGUGGAGCAGAGGCAGGCCCGUGAGGGUGAUUUUCAGAAUGCUGCCUGCUUCUGAGAGUGAGAUGAAGACCCUCUGGGGUCCCGUUGAUGUCACCAAUGUCGCCCGUCUUGAGGCAUCUCUGGUCCAGACCUGGCUGGGAGAGAGAGCUAUGGGUGGAGAUGCACUGGGUGGGUGCUGGUGGGAGGGGCGGGCUGGCUUUUCCUCAGCCCCCAGACUUAGUUAGAGAAGAUCACACGCAAGAGCUUGGAAGUCCUGGGAGGAAGUAUGAUCCCGAAUCCUGGCACACUUGAUCAUGCGUGACAGGGACUUAAGAAAGCCCCUAAUUAUAGCCGUGUGGGGUUUGUCUCCCUUCUGAAGCCUGGCGCCCGUGUGCUCAAGGCAAGGGCGUGACCAAGGUAAGAGACCCCUUCUCUCCCUUAGGCAGAAGUCCUAGCAGAGUAUGCCCACGCAGGUUAGUGCUGCUGCAAAGAUGAGCCGAAGACCAUGAGAGACCUCCAGGUGGUCCUUCUGGGGAGAAGAAAUGGGUUUUGGCCCCAAAUCCUUCUGCUGCAUUUUUCCCCUAUCCCUGGGAAGCCAUGAGACCUUAAACCUGUGUUCCCAAGGAGGCGAGCUGCUGUUGCCAGGUGAUGAUAUGAUGUGCUUGGAGAAAGUAAGUGGCUGCCAGACAUGGCUGAGAGCUGUUGUCACUGCCGUCAAGUGCAUGUCUCCAAGCCAUAUCACACGGCGUCCCUCGAUGUGAGGCCACAUGGCAAGUGGGCCGUGGAUCUCCCUCUGCCCUUUGCAAGCACGUAAGACAGCAGAUUUUGCAGAUACCUUGUGGCGCAGGGGAAUUUCCUUUGGCCAGGUCUGAAGAAAUAAAGCAGCAGGCACCGAGAACAAAGCCAAGGCUUUCAAAAGACAAGGAGCCAAAAAACUUACUCAAAAUAAAAGUAGUUUUAAAAUG
rnacentral:lncRNA from 1 species